AGCUCCAAUAGCGUAUAUUAAAGUUGCUGCAGUUAAAAAGCUCGUAGUUGCAUUUCCGAGGCAAGGGAUUAGUCCGACCUUUGGUGGGCAUUUAAUCCUCUUGCCUCGUCCUUGAGUGGUGCUUCUUGGUAUUAAGUUAUCGAGGAGAUAGCCGCUCAUCGUUUACUGUGAGAAAAUUAGAGUGUUCAAAGCAGGCUUAUGCCGUUGAAUAUAUUAGCAUGGAAUAAUAAGAUAGGACCUCGGUACUAUUUUGUUGGUUUGAGAACCAAGGUAAUGAUGAAUAGGGACAGUUGGGGGUAUUCGUAUUCAGUUGUCAGAGGUGAAAUUCUUAGAUUUACGGAAGACGAACUACUGCGAAAGCAUUUGCCAAGGAUGUUUUCA
rnacentral:rRNA from 1 species